rnacentral:rRNA from 1 species
AAUCCUACGGGGGGCAGCAGUGAGGAAUAUUGGUCAAUGGGAGGAAUCCUGAACCAGCCAUGCCGCGUGCAGGACGACGGCUCUACGAGUUGUAAACUGCUUUUGUACCGGGGUAAAAUGCCUUACGAGUAGGGUUUUGAAAGUACGGUACGAAUAAGGAUCGGCUAACUCCGUGCCAGCAGCCGCGGUAAUACGGAGGAUCCGAGCGUUAUCCGGAUUUAUUGGGUUUAAAGGGUGCGCAGGCGGAGGCACAAGUCAGCGGUAAAAUCGCGGGGCUCAACCCCGCUCCGCCGUUGAAACUGUGU